AAUGAACGUUGGCGGCAUGGAUUAGGCAUGCAAGUCGAGCGGGUGUAGCAAUACAUCAGCGGCGUAAGGGACAGGAACACGUAGAUUACCUGCCCUCGGGUCUGGGAUAGCCACGGGAAACUGUGGGUAAUACCAGAUGAUAUCUCCGGAUCAAAGGUGUGAUUCCGCCCGAGGAUGGGUCUGCGUCCUAUUAGCUAGUUGGUGAGGUAAUGGCUCACCAAGGCGAUGAUGGGUAGCAGGUGUGAGAGCACGACCUGCGACAUUGGGACUGAGACACGGCCCAGACCCCUACGGGUGGCUGCAGUCGAGAAUUUUUGGCAAUGGGCGAAAGCCUGACCAAGCGACGCCGCGUGCGGGAUGAAGGCCUUCGGGUUGUAAACCGCUGUCAGUGGGGAGGAAAGCUUUGCGAAGAGCAAGGCUUGACCUAUCCGCAGAGGAAGUGUGGGCUAAGUUCGUGCCAGCAGCCGCUGUAA
rnacentral:rRNA from 1 species